rnacentral:rRNA from 1 species
UAGUUGGUGAGGUAAUGGCUCACCAAGGCUAUGAUCGUUAGCUGGUCUGAGAGGAUGGCCAGCCACACUGGAACUGAGACACGGUCCAGACUCCUACGGGAGGCAGCAGUGGGGAAUCUUGCACAAUGGGCGAAAGCCUGAUGCAGCGACGCCGCGUGGGGGAUGAAGCUUUUCGGAGUGUAAACCCCUUUCGACCCGGACGAAUGCCUCGCAAGAGGACUGACGGUACGGGUAUAAGAAGCCCCGGCUAACUACGUGCCAGCAGCCGCGGUAAGACGUAGGGGGCCAGCGUUGCUCGGAAUUACUGGGUGUAAAGGGUUCGUAGGCGGUGUGGCAAGUCGGGAGUGAAAUCUCUGGGCUCAACCCAGAGUCUGCUUCCGAAACUGCUGUGCUUGAGUGUGGGAGAGGCGCGUGGAAUUGCAGGUGUAGCGGUGAAAUGCGUAGAUAUCUGCAGGAACACCCGUGGCGAAAGCGGCGCGCUGGACCACUACUGACGCUGAGGAACGAAAGCUAGGGGAGCAAACAGGAUUAGAUACCCUGGUAGUCCUAGCCCUAAACGAUCAGGACUUGGGGUGCCGCCCGUUCGGGCGUCGUCCCGGAGCUAACGCGUUAAGUCCUGCACCUGGGGAGUACGGUCGCAAGACUGAAACUCAAAGGAAUUGACG